rnacentral:rRNA from 1 species
AGCGCAGGCGGUUUGAUAAGUCUGAAGUUAAGGGCUAUGGCUCAACCAUAGUUCGCUUUGGAAACUGUCAAACUUGAGUGCAGAAGGGGAGAGUGGAAUUCCAUGUGUAGCGGUGAAAUGCGUAGAUAUAUGGAGGAACACCGGUGGCGAAAGCGGCUCUCUGGUCUGUAACUGACGCUGAGGCUCGAAAGCGUGGGAGCGAACA